UUCAUGGUAGAUAUCCCACCCACUUGCACGAAGCGCUUCGCUUCAAGCUUCCUUGUGCGAACUGCUAGGGAGUGGAACUCCUUGCCGGAGUCUGUGUUUUCUGAUGGGUACAACCUGGGUGUCUUCAAAGCCCGAGUGAAUAGGUUGCUUAUGGGCAGACGUGCUCCAUCGUAGGCCGCAUCAUCACUUACCAUCAGGCGAGAUAGCGGCCAAACGUCGACCUAUCAAAUGUAAAAAAAUAAUUAAAUAGUAUAUACUCCUUUUUAAAAGGCCGGCAACGUACCUGUGACUCCUCUAGUGUUGUGUUGUCCAUGGGCCACGCUGAUCGCUUACUUUUAGAUGACUCGUUUGCUUGUUUGCCACCUAUUCCAUAAAAAAAAACAUUUUAAAGAACCCUUAGGGUUCAGAGAUGUGCUAUGAUACGUUGCUGUGGAUGCGUUUGGCUUCCACCAAUCAUAUUUAUUGGUACACGGUUAGCACUGGUGGAAACGGACUCAGUUAAGAUACGUCUUUUAUAUGGAAAGAUGCGUGCUAUGGAUGGCUUCCCUACUACCAAUACAUUGCAUACUCGAGCUGCGCAUCUUCAUCGCACAGCUACAUAGCUUAGUAUCAGUGGAAACUGUCACAUAGUUUCACAGCUUAGCUAUUAUAUCUUCUUAGCAUAGCUACAUAGCAUGGGAAAAGCAUGGUGGAAAAGCAUCCUUAAACUAAAAUAAUGUCGCGGUGGCCUAAAGCAUUGGAGCUUUAAGACAUAAGAGGCUUCUCAUAAUAAUAUGAGGGUUCGAAACCUACCAACAGCAAGUACCAAUGUGACUUUUUCCGAGUUAUAUGUACUUUCUAAAAUUAUUUAGACACCACUAACAAACGGUGAAGGAAAACAUCGUGAGGAAACCUGGGCUUAUAAUUUCAAAUUAUAAGUUUAAAAUCGCCAACUCACAUUGAGCAAGCGUGGUGAUUAAUGCUCAAACCUUCUCCAUGUGAGAAGAGGCCUUUGGUCAGCAGUGGACACUUAUAGUCUGUUGAUGACGAUGAAGCCAAAAUAGGUGACUUUUAGCGAAAUAUUGGUUUUAACCAUCCUAUAAGUGACAACUAACAGUACAAGUAAGGGGUUAGUUUAGGUGCUAAGACACGCUAAGUAACUCUUAAGAGAGGGGGUGGUUGGUGAAAAGGGCCAUAAGUCUUGUAU